UAACCUUUUACCAUCAUAUACAAAAUAUUAAUGGUUCUUUGGCCUUUAUCCAUCAUAACUCCAAUAGACGCCACUUUUAUUCCGUCUUCCCAUUUUGAAAAUAGAGAGACGUGCGUAUCCACCGUUCCACCACCGUACCGACGGCACCGUCAGCCACCACUGCAGCUGCUUCAGGUCCAGAGUGUGCCGCACGUAUAGUGAUGUGUUUGUUGGUGCUCUUCUUCAUUAGUGGCAGCUCAAUUGAUGUUCUUCUUAACUUGGAUGACGCUUGGUUUGCUGUUUUGGUGACAUAGCGACAAUUGUGAUGGUGGUUCGUGGUGGUCAAUAGCCGCACCUUUGGGUGGCGGUACAUGGGAGAUUGGCGGUGACGACUGCUAGAACUAAGGUUCCGGCUAACCAACUUCUUCAGCGAGGUUCCAAGUAGCCGAUUUUGGCCCAAUGAGCGAAUCCCUGUCGUUGGUAGGGUUGGUCGUCAGUGUCGGUGGUGUUCGUCACCGACAUUGUCUUCGUGCAAGAAGUGAAAGUUAUUGAAACUUUGUCUCCAUUCGAGAUUUGCUUCUAUUUCACAAAUUUCGUCUAUUAUUUUUAGAUUUGUGUUGUUAUUCGUAAACCAAAACCCACUGUGCACGUAGCUAAAUAUGUAAAAUAGUGGCUGUCUGAUUUCAAUGUAAAUUUUGAAAGUAAUGUUGAGUACUCAUAUGUUAAACCAUGGUGACUUUAUUGUUUGGAUGCUAUUGCGAGUGGUUCUUCAUAUCUAUUUAUUAAAGUUAUUCUAUUUUUC
rnacentral:lncRNA from 1 species